UGAGGGACUUCCUGGGCUGAUUCAGUCCUCUGAUUAUUAUCCACUGUUGAAACUCCAGGCUGGCAGUGAUGAGAUUGAGAAGAGGAGUGUCAGGACCAUUGAAAGGGACUUCAGGGCACAGGGACAAGUGGUUGAUAGGACAGGGACACAGGUAGUCUUUUCCUCAGUCCCUUUGGUGGCUGAGAAAAAUGGUGAAAGCAAUAGGAGAGCUCAUAUCAGCAACAAGUGGCUCAAGGGCUGGUGUCAUUGGCAGAAUUUUGGAUUCUUUGAUCAUGGUGCAGCUUUGAUGGCACCUGGCCUGCUGGAACCAGAUGGGCUCCAUCUCUCUGUUAAGGGCAGAAGGUUUUUAGCUGAUGAGCUUGCAGAACUUGUUGAGAGGGCUUUAAAGUAGGUUUGAAGAGGGAACGGGAUGCAGCUGGGCUGUCUGGAAGCAGGCCCAAGGGUGGUAAGCCUGAGUUAGGGAUGAAAUCAGCAGCCCAGCUGAGGUGCAUGGAUAGCAGUGCACACAGCAUGGGUAACAAACAGCAAGAGCUGGAGGCCAUGGUCCAGCAGCAGAGCUGUGAUGUCAUUGCCAUCACAGAAACGUGGUGGGAUGCCUCACAUGGCUGGAGCACUACACUGGAUGGCUACAAGCUCUUCAGGAGAGACAGGAAAGGGAGAAGAGGUGAAGCUGAACCUGCUGGUGAAGGUGGUGCAGCUUCCCAAGCCACAUCCAGGACUGAGGCUCUGGGAGAUGCUGAGGGUGUGUCUCCUGGGAGGACUUCUCCAGCUCCUUUGCUGAUUCCUACAGAGAAGCCUGCCUCCCAUCGCAGGGGU